rnacentral:rRNA from 1 species
AACGAACGCUGGCGGCGUGGAUUAGGCAUGCAAGUCGAACGCGAAAGAGGGGGUAACGUCCUCGAGUAGAGUGGCGAACGGGUGAGUAACACGUGAGAAACCUGCCUUCAGCAGGGGGAGUAACACUCCCAACGGGGUGGCUAAUACCGCAUGAGACCACGGAUUCACAUGGAUCUGGGGUCAAAGGUGGCCUCUGCUUGCAAGCUACCGGCUGAAGAUGGUCUCGCGUCCCAUUAGCUAGUUGGUGGGGUAAUGGCCCACCAAGGCGACGAUGGGUAGCUGGUCUGAGAGGAUGGUCAGCCACACU